rnacentral:rRNA from 1 species
AUUGAACGCUGGCGGCAUGCCUUACACAUGCAAGUCGAACGGCAGCACGGGAGCAAUCCUGGUGGCGAGUGGCGAACGGGUGAGUAACGUAUCGGAACGUACCAUUCAGUGGGGGAUAACGUAGCGAAAGUUACGCUAAUACCGCAUAUUCUGUGAGCAGGAAAGCAGGGGAUCGCAAGACCUUGCGCUGAUUGAGCGGCCGAUAUCAGAUUAGCUAGUUGGUGAGGUAAAGGCUCACCAAGGCGACGAUCUGUAGCGGGUCUGAGAGGAUGAUCCGCCACACGGGAACUGAGACACGGCCCAGACUCCUACGGGAGGCAGCAGUGGGGAAUUUUGGACAAUGGGGGCAACCCUGAUCCAGCCAUGCCGCGUGAGUGAAGAGGGCCUUCGGGUUGUAAAGCUCUUUCGGCGGGGAAGAAAUGGCAACGGCUAAUAUCCGUUGUUGAUGACGGUACCCGCAUAAGAAGCACCGGCUAACUACGUGCCAGCAGCCGCCGUAACAC